CAGUCGCCGCGGUAAUACGUAGGUGGCAAGCGUUGUCCGGAAUUAUUGGGCGUAAAGGGCUCGCAGGCGGUUUCUUAAGUCUGAUGUGAAAGCCCCCGGCUCAACCGGGGAGGGUCAUUGGAAACUGGGAAACUUGAGUGCAGAAGAGGAGAGUGGAAUUCCACGUGUAGCGGUGAAAUGCGUAGAGAUGUGGAGGAACACCAGUGGCGAAGGCGACUCUCUGGUCUGUAACUGACGCUGAGGAGCGAAAGCGUGGGGAGCGAACAGGAUUAGAUACCCGUGUAGUCCCUGUCUCUUAUAA
rnacentral:rRNA from 1 species